rnacentral:rRNA from 1 species
CAGCCGCCGCGGGAAUACGAAGGGGGCUAGCGUUGUUCGGAUUAACUGGGCGUAAAGGGCGCGUAGGCGGGUUUUUAAGUCAGAGGUGAAAUCCCCGAGCUUAACUUGGGAACUGCAUUUGAAACUGGCAAGCUAGAGUCUUGUAGAGGGGGGUAGAAUUCCAGGUGUAGCGGUGAAAUGCGUAGAGAUCUGGAGGAAUACCGGUGGCGAAGGCGGCCCCCUGGACGAAGACUGACGCUCAGGUACGAAAGCGUGGGGAGCAAACAGGAUUAGAUACCCGCGUAGUCCCUGUCUCUUAUAC